CCUACGGGGGGCAGCAGUGGGGAAUAUUGGACAAUGGGGGGAACCCUGAUCCAGCCAUGCCGCGUGUGUGAAGAAGGCCCUCGGGUUGUAAAGCACUUUCAGUGAGGAAGAACGCCUGGUGGUUAAUACCCAUCAGGAAAGACAUCACUCACAGAAGAAGCACCGGCUAACUCCGUGCCAGCAGCCGCGGUAAUACGGAGGGUGCGAGCGUUAAUCGGAAUUACUGGGCGUAAAGCGCGCGUAGGUGGCUUGAUAAGCCGGUUGUGAAAGCCCCGGGCUCAACCUGGGAACGGCAUCCGGAACUGUCAAGCUAGAGUGCAGGAGAGGAAGGUAGAAUUCCCGAUGUAGCGGUGAAAUGCGUAGAGAUCGGGAGGAAUACCAGUGGCGAAGGCGGCCUUCUGGACUGACACUGACACUGAGGUGCGAAAGCGUGGGUAGCAAACAGGAUUAGAUACCCCUGUAGUC
rnacentral:rRNA from 1 species